ensembl:lncRNA
AUAUCUAGUGUGCUUGCAACACUUAGCCUCUGAGGCUGCCCUAGGAGCCUGUACAUGCUGUGCUGACCAAGGGCUGGCUUUCCUCUGUGGCCCACUCCUAGAACUGAGCAAUCAGAUAUUCCCAUUGUUGGUGAACUCAUCAACCUUGGUGAACCCAAAGAUUUGCUUGAGCAACCUGGGUUAUAGGAAAAGAAGAUGAAAGCCGUUGCCUUCAUCCUUCCCGGACACCUGUAAGCAGUCCCUUGAGGAAGCUUCCAUCAGAUGACCCAGCUGGAAAGCAUCUUCUGUUUCCUGCCAGUCCAUCUGAUGCACCUUUGAUCAGCA